CCUUGUUUUGUCCUAAAUUAUAUAGAUUUGUGAGUAUUUCUUGUGUAGAAUUGAAAUAUGUGUGGAAUGGUAUCAAGUACCCUUAAGACAGACUUUGAAAAAUUUGAUGAAAAGAAAAAUUUCAUCCUUUGGCAGCAAAGAAUGAAGGAUUUGUUAGUUCAGAAUAGAAUCUACAAGGUUUUGAUCAGGGAUAGGCCUGAAA
rnacentral:lncRNA from 1 species